rnacentral:rRNA from 1 species
AUUGAACGCUGCGGCAUGCCUUACACAUGCAAGUCGAACGGCAGCACGGAGCUUGCUCUGGUGGCGAGCGGCGAACGGGUGAGUAAUAUAUCGGAACGUACCCUAGAGUGGGGGAUAACGUAGCGAAAGUUACGCUAAUACCGCAUACGAUCUAAGGAUGAAAGUGGGGGAUCGCAAGACCUCAUGCUCGUGGAGCGGCCGAUAUCUGAUUAGCUAGUUGGUAGGGUAAGAGCCUACCAAGGCAUCGAUCAGUAGCUGGUCUGAGAGGACGACCAGCCACACUGGAACUGAGACACGGUCCAGACUCCUACGGGAGGCAGCAGUGGGGAAUUUUGGACAAUGGGCGAAAGCCUGAUCCAGCAAUGCCGCGUGAGUGAAGAAGGCCUUCGGGUUGUAAAGCUCUUUUGUCAGGGAAGAAACGGUGGGAGCUAAUAUCUCUUGCUAAUGACGGUACCUGAAGAAUAAGCACCGGCUAA